rnacentral:rRNA from 1 species
UGGGGAAUAUUGCACAAUGGGGGAAACCCUGAUGCAGCAACGCCGCGUGCGGGAUGACGGCCUUCGGGUUGUAAACCGCUUUCAGCCAUGACGAAGCUUUUGUGACGGUAGUGGCAGAAGAAGCACCGGCUAACUACGUGCCAGCAGCCGCGGUGAUACGUAGGGUGCGAGCGUUGUCCGGAAUUAUUGGGCGUAAAGAGCUUGUAGGCGGUUUGUCGCGUCGAAAGUGUAAACUCAGUACUUAACGCUGAGCCUGCUUUCGAUACGGGCUGACUAGAGGAAGGUAGGGGAGAAUGGAAUUCCCGGUGGAGCGGUGGAAUGCGCAGAUAUCGGGAGGAACACCAGUGGCGAAGGCGGUUCUCUGGACCUUUCCUGACGCUGAGAAGCGAAAGCGUGGGUAGCAAACAGG